rnacentral:rRNA from 1 species
UUACGCCUGGGGCUACACACGUACUACAAUGGCACGUACAAAGGGUUGCAAAGCCGUGAGGCCAAGCCAAUCCCAAAAAGCGUGUCUCAGUCCGGAUAGGAGUCUGCAACUCGACUCCUUGAAGUCGGAAUCGCUAGUAAUCCCGGAUCAGCAUGCCGGGGUGAAUGCGUUCCCGGGCCUUGUACACACCGCCCGUCACACCACGAAAGUUGGUUCCACCCGAAACCGACGAGCUAACCCUUUUGGGAGGCAGUCGUCUACGGUGGGGCUGAUGAUUGGGGUGAAGUCGUAACAAGGUAGCA